GCUUUCAAUGAAAACGAGGGGGGCGCGGAGGAGGAGGCGGCGGCGUCGGUGGCGGCGGCGACGGCGGCGCGGAGGCGAAGGCAGCGGCGGGCGCAGCGAGGAGGGCGAGGCCGGGGGCCGAGAGGGCGGGAGGGCGUAGUGGCGGCCCGUCGGGGCGGCUGAGGCGGGCAGCCGAAGCAGUGGCUCUCGGAGGGGGAACAAAGAGCAGCGACUAAGGCGGCAGAGGAGCGGCGGCGGUGGCGGCGCUGCAGCAGCGGGCGGGACUGGUAUGGUGGUUCCACAGGGCAGACCCCGCUGCACUCACAGGGAGGAGGAGGCGGCAGCGGCGGAGGAAGGCGGCGCACCCCGAGAGGUGGAUUGUCUCAUUGUUAGUGCUGAAUCUUCUUGCCUACUUGUAUCUGGGAAUUUAACUUUGAAGAGGAAGAGAGUGAAUAUGAAUAACUGAAAAAUAAAAUG
rnacentral:lncRNA from 10 species